AUUGAACGCUGGCGGCAGGCUUAACACAUGCAAGUCGAGCGGGGUGAUGGUGCUUGCACUAUCACUUAGCGGCGGACGGGUGAGUAAUGCUUAGGAAUCUGCCUAUUAGUGGGGGACAACAUUCCGAAAGGGAUGCUAAUACCGCAUACGCCCUACGGGGGAAAGCAGGGGAUCUUCGGACCUUGCGCUAAUAGAUGAGCCUAAGUCGGAUUAGCUAGUUGGUGGGGUAAAGGCCUACCAAGGCGACGAUCUGUAGCGGGUCUGAGAGGAUGAUCCGCCACACUGGGACUGAGACACGGCCCAGACUCCUACGGGAGGCAGCAGUGGGGAAUAUUGGACAAUGGGCGGAAGCCUGAUCCAGCCAUGCCGCGUGUGUGAAGAAGGCCUUUUGGUUGUAAAGCACUUUAAGCGAGGAGGAGGCUCUUAAGGUUAAUACCCUUGAUGAGUGGACGUUACUCGCAGAAUAAGCACCGGCUAACUCUGUGCCAGCCGCCGCCGUAA
rnacentral:rRNA from 1 species